GAUUGACUUACGCUAAACAGCUACAGCAGAUUGGUGAUCCCAAAAUUUUAGCAAUAAAGUGGAUAGGGGAGGGGCAGUAAGGGAAUGAUAACGUAACAGCUUAGAUCCUAGUUUAACUAAGCUUCUUUGAACAUGCAGAGCGGCAGAAACAACACUCAGGAAUAAUCUAGUAGAUUAUAUCACUUAUAACAAAAUUUUAUCAAGCACUUAUCUUCACACUUUUGCUCGAUUACCGAAUCACAAGUUCUCAACCAAAAUUAUACGAAAUGGUCAAGAGGAAAAUGAAGGGAAGAGCAUUUACUCAUCGUCAAAAUUGGCAACAACAUAGAAAAUUGUUCGUCUUGUGGAAACACAACAAUCAAUAAGUUCCUCAGUUAAAGAAAAUGCAAACCAACCAAGUGUAUGAUGCAAUAAAUGGCUGUAGUAUUGAAUAUAAACUAGACAAGUACAAAGUUGACACGCUCUCAACCAAAUAGACUAUCAGCCAGUCUAGCUGCCAGCAUAAGAUAUUGAGAGUACAUCACAAGACAAAAGAAGCACAACAUCCUGAUUGCAUCCUCUGACUAGGUUUGUCAUUACAAAUUACCUUCCAACAACACUGCAUAUAAAAAUUGAGAUUUAAGUGAGUCCCAAGUCCACAUGACUCUUCCCCAGUCCUAGGUAGCAAUCAGGAUAGACAAAAGAAAGGUAGAUAUUUAUAAACCUGUGAAUUGCAUAAAACAUCUAGUUGCAACACAUUAACCAUCCUUUCACUCAGUCAAUAAAGGUUCCAUAGAGCUUUGUUCAUGCUUCCACAAAACUUGAGUACAAGCUCGUUAUUUCACACUCUUUAAUACGAAUAACUCAUGGAUCAUGAGCCACAAUCAUUAACUGCUCUUAUAGCCUUACAACUAUGGCUGCAAAAGCACUAUGAAUGACCAUAGCCUCGCAAAAAAGACAAUAUAUUCCCAAUCCGUCAGUCCAAAAGAUUCAGUAAAGAGAGAAGGGAGCAACGAGAGGAUUGGGACUACUAUUACAGAACCAGACAUUUCCACAAUUUGGUUCUCUUAAAUUAACUUCCAUAGUUCAAUUUGACAAUGUUUAUCCAAUAUAGUUCACAUCCCAAGAAAGGAUACAUGAAUGACAAAACUAAAAGAGGAGAAGCCAAGAGAGCUCUCCCACUCUUGCCACUUAGUUCAUCCAAUGAGAACUUGAGGCCAAUAAUCCAUCAAUGAAAAGGUUAAAGAAACAGGUAAGGCUUGGUAAAUUAUUCAUCUAAGAAGUAGCUAGAUAAUGUAGAAAAAUGAAUAAGCCAUGGUAUUUUUCAUCCGAGAAUAAAUAAGCUUUGGGGUUAUGCUAAAUCGUACAGAAUUUUUAUGCAAUUUGAGAAACAAGUAACCUCAUCUUACACCACAAAAAUAGAUCUUGCAACAGUCUCAUUAAAUAAACACAGCGAGUAAAUACCAUUGUAAACUCAACAAAAGCAAUACGAGAUGAAUGAUGGUAGUCUCCCAAUAUCCUCAUGCAUUGAACCUACCAAAAAGCAAAAAAAUGUUUGGCAAAGGAUCAUAAAAUCUGGAUAUUGAAUAACAACACAAUCGAGCGUAUCACGAAGGAUUGAAUAAUAAUUUAACAGCUGUAGGUCAUUCCAUUCUUUAAGAAAUAGAACUCUACUCGAAACUUAAGCUAAUUAAAAUACAGGAAUCCAUAGAAAUUAAUCCAGUAACACAAACCCAUCAAAGUAAACCAAUCAAACUUAAAUUUUGACAUGGUAAAAAAGGAAAAUAACCACUCAAAAUAAAAUAUGAAGCAGAAAAAAGCUGAAUUUCUUGAACCUAAUGGAUCACCAGGGAAAAAAAUAGCGAUAAAUUUAGAGCUACAAACAUUAAAGCAGUUUGAGAGCAAAAGAGAGUUAGAAACUGGUUUACCUUUCAGUUGCAGUAACUUGGAAACCCACCAAUUGAGAGCAAGCGAAAGAGUGACAGAGAGAAAAAGAAAAGAAAAGGUUGAGAAGGCCAAGCGUAAUUUGUGUUGUAAAGAAAAAGAAAAGAAAAGGUUGAGAGACAGAGGGAGCAAAUCGACAGAAAAGGUUGAGGCUAGAAGGAAGGAACAGAAGACAGAAAGGGGAAGCCGAUCGGGAGGGUAAAACAGGGAGGGUAAACUGAAGCAGCACCUAAACUGAGCAAAAGGGAGGGAUUAGAAAUCGGUGGAUUUUGGGGAUUAGGUCAGUAAUGUAUUAGACCUGUAAUAGCAAUACCCUGAACCAAACAAAGGAUUAAAGGGGGAUUAAGUGGGGCCCACCGAUUAGGGGUGUAUUGGCUAUGCCACCCAACCAAACAUGCUGUAAGUAUGUUCCAUGCCGUGAUAAUUUAUUUUCAUUCCAAUUCGGCAAUUUAACGUCAAUCUUAUGCCAUGCGUAGGUCAGGGACAUUGGGACAACCACAUGGGCUCAAUUUAGAAUUAAAUUCGCAUAAAUAAAGCUGCUGGAAGAGGAUGGUCAGAUGCUGGUUUUAAAGAAAUCCAAUUGACAAUGAGACAAAGAAGAAAAUUCGUCCCAAUUGGAUGUACAGCAGACUGAAUAUGUGACAAAAUCAGCAGGAGAAUUAUUUUUAAUUCCCCAAAUUUCCUUCUUGCUAGCGGCGGUCGACUCCGAUUGACUCAAGAAAAUUAAAUCAGCCUUGAAGAGUUAAAUUAAAGUAAAACUCUAGUAGGCUGGAGCUAUUUUUAUGCGACGGGUUAGGCUAAGAUCAAGGGGAUAAGAUCAAGUUUUGUUUUGAAUUAUUAGAGGUUAUAUUUUUCCAUAAAUGGAGGAAACGAAGCAGCAAACCGACAGAAGAUUUUUCAUUAUUUUGCAGGUAUAGUUCGGUCAUUCACUAGAGGAUUUUGUGAGCCAACACGCGCCAGUCAAUCAGCUAGAAAAUAGUUCAAAGAAUCAGCUAGUCGAGAGGAGAAGGGCUCGGUAAUUGAGAGCAGUUUUCCAUACGAGAUUGGUUCGAAAUUUACGCUGUCUUCAAUUAAUUUCAGUGCUGGACUUCUUGCUAUGAGUUGCUGAAUUAUUUCAGCUUAGUUAGGCACUCAUGAAGCUGAGCGCAAGGGAUUCAAAGACAUGAUUUUUCUUUCUAAAUUCGAGUUCGGUAUUCUCUAAUUGUUUGUUUUUAACGUUCAAAGGAAAUUUCUAAAUCAAUUGGAUUGAUCACCAAUUUAAUUUGGGGAUUUGUUUACAGUCAUCUAAGUACAAAUUGAGUAAUUAAAAUUCUUAAUAAACUUAGAAUAUGUGAUGAAUAAUUGGCCAGCAACUAAUUAAAAACAACUAGGGAUUUAAUGGUAGAGACCGCUGGAGGACUCUUUACGAUUGAUGCAAGGUAAAAUCUCUAAGAAUUUUAAAUACACCUUUAAUUGGUCGACGGAGAGAUAAUUAAGGGUAGAAAUUUAGCUAAGAACGUUCUCUGACUGGAUAAAAUUACCAGAGAUAGGAAAUUACUUCGUAAGUGAUUUCUUUAUCCUUGCUGCCGAAUUAAGAUACUAGAAUAAUUGAGGGAUGCAAUCGACUUGUGCUUAGCAGAUUGAGGAGCCCAUAACUAAGCCUUCUUUUUCUCUAUUGGAUUAAUUAUUUCAAAGUAAUUUAAAAUUUGAGUUAAAAUUUAUUCAUUAUUUUAGGAAAACGUAGAAGCAAAAACCACCUAUUUUACUAUCUUGCACGCGUUUACAUUAUCUUAAUUCUAAUUCUUUUCAAAUAGGUUUACACGAGCUUCUUCGUGGGACGAUUCGUUACUUACUAUAUAUUACCAGUUAAUAUUUUCUUAGUAGAAGAUAAAAUUCGGUGGUCGUAACGACAGCUACCAAAUUUUGGCGCCGUUACCGGGGAAGCGACGUAGUCAAAUCUAUUUGAUUUUCAGAACUUAUUUUGUUUUCUUGAUUUUGUCUAUGCAGGUAGAUUAGUCCCUAUAGUAUAUGUUAUUAAGGAGUGGACGAUGAACAUCGAAAGACCCUGUUAACAUUAUCGAUCAACAAGCUGAAUAUCCAAACCUCCACGUUGAGUCUAACGUUUCAGAGGAUAUCAACAUGGCCAACCAGACCUUGAAACAAUUGGCCGCACCUAACUUGGCUACGCAACCACCAUCUAUCACGUAUCCCGCCCUUGAUAGGCCAUUAAAGCUUAAUUCGGGAUUCCUGAAUUUGUUGCCAAAAUUCAAUGGGUUACCAGGUGAGGACCCUUACCGGCAUAUUAAUGAAUUUUUAAUUACUUGUUCAACUAUGCAACCAGAUGGCAUUGAAGAGGAACAAAUCAAGCUCCGAGCCUUCCCUUUCUCGUUACAAGGUUUGGCGAAGGACUGGUUAUAUUACAUGCCGCCAGGUUCAUUUACAACUUGGAUAGGGUUACAUAAGUCUUUCCUUGAGAAGUAUUUUUCGGCAUCUAGGAUAGGGUCGAUUAGGAAAGAAAUUUGUGGAAUUAAGCAGCUGGUAGGUGAGUCACUAUAUGAGUACUGGGAAAGAUUUAAACGGCUAUGUACGAGUUGUCUACAACAUCAGAUUAGCGAGCAGCUUUUAGUGUAAUAUUUUUAUGAAGGUCUGACGCCACAAGAUCGAGGAAUGAUUGAUGCCGCGAGUGGAGGUGCAUUGGUUGAUAAAACUCCUGAGCAAGCCCAAAAUUUGAUCACUAAUAUGGCACAGAAUACACAGUAAUUCGGUCUCAGGAGGUCUGACUUGGGUAAACGAAUGGAUGAGGGCCAGUCGAGUAUGAUAGAGGCUCAAUUAGCUAAUUUAACGGCUAUGGUAAGUAAGUUGAUGACUGGAGGUACUGCGAAAGCUUCACUAUGUGGCAUUUGUUGUUUAGAAGGACAUACCACAGAUACGUGCCCGACAUUACAGGAAGGGGAAGCUAACGCCAUCUUUCCAAAUCAGAGGAGGUAUGAUCCAUACUCGGCUACUUAUAAUGAGGGAUGGAGAGAUCACCCUAAUCUUAGAUAUCAAAAUUGAGCUACGCCUCUGGGAUUUGAGCAGCAAAAUUCCCGACCAUAUAAUAUGUCACAACCAACCCAUCAAAACCUAAGUGUCGAAACCAAGACCCAUACCAUGCUUGAACAAAUGGUGAAGAUGAUGGCUGACCAGAAGAAGGAAACCGAUGGAAGGUUUCAGUCUUUGGAAUUGGCAGUGAAGCAAUUGUAAACCAGAGCCUCGUCGAUUGACGUUAAUCUUGGGAACUUGCAAGCACAGGUAAAUAAUCGGUUACCAUCACAGCCUGUGGCAAAUCCGAAGGAUAAUGUCAGUGCUAUAACCUUGCGAAGUGGGAAGGAGUUGAGAUCGAUACUAAAGAAGGUCUAAAACAGCGACGGGGAAGACAAAACUGAGGUAAAAAAGGUCCGAUUUAGUGAUAUUGAAGAGGAAAAUUUAGCCUUGCCAAAGGCUGAUUUACAACCGUCGCAAGCAGCACCAAAGGAAGCAGGGAAAUCAUGUUUACAACAGCCCACUGCUUCACAUGGUGCAGCAAAUUUUGAACAGGAAACGAGGGUUCCCGAGCUUCAAGCACAAGCAAGUCAGAACGCUAAUAACCAACCUCGGUCUUAUGUGCCGAAGGUGCCAUUUCCACAGCGUUUGAGGAAGGAAAAGUCAGACGACGUCAAUGCCGAAAUUCUAGAGACUUUCCGCAAGGUACAAGUUAAUAUUCCAUUAAUUGAUGCAAUUAAACAGGUGCCUAGAUAUGCUAAGUUUUUGAAAGAAUUAUGCACAUUUAAAAGGAAAUUAAUUGGAAAUGAGAAGAUUAGCUUAGGCGAAAAUGUAUUUACGGUAUUUCAAAAGAAACUUCCUACUAAAUAUAAAGAUCCUGGAAUGUUUUCGAUACCUUGUAAGAUAGGAGACCUUAAACUUGAUAGAGCUAUGCCUGAUUUAGGAGCUUCUAUAAAUGUCAUGCCUAGGAGUAUCUACGAUAGGGUUCAAUUAGGUGCAUUAAAAGACACAGGACUGAUAAUUCAACUUGCAGAUAGGAGUAAUGCCUACCCUGAUGGUGUUUUAGAAGAUGUUCUAGUGCAAGUAAAUGAGUUAGUCUUUCCGACUGAUUUUUAUGUUUUAGACAUGGGACCUAAUGAUAAUUCAAUUGAUGUGCCCUUACUCUUAGGUAGACCUUUUCCUAAGACUGCUAGAAUGAAAAUUGAUGUGCAUAAAGGGAAUUUAACUAUGGAAUUUGAUGGUGAGAUAAUUAAAUUUAAUAUAUUUGAUGCUAUGAGAUAUCCCACUGAUAUUAAUUUCAUGUUUACUCUUAAUGUAAUUGACAAUUUUGUUCAAGAUGUUUAUGAAUUAGGGGAUGAGGACGAGUUGAAAAGCAUUCUGGCUAAGAGCAUUUUUGAUAUCGACAAGCAUGAAUUUAUCAUUUCUGAUUCUUUAAUUAAUUCGAUUUGUGCAUUAGACUCGCCUCAAUUAACACGCUUCAAGCCGAUCCUCCCUAACCUUACGGUGACUGGUAAGCAAAUUCCUUCAUUGAUUUCACCACCUAAAUUGGAAUUAAAAGAGCUGCCCGAAAAUUUAAAGUACAUUUAUUUGGGGGAAAAUCAAACUUUACCAUUGAUAGUGUCGAAUGCUUUAAUCGAAAUGCAAGAAUCUAAGCUACUUAGAGUUCUUAGGGAACAUAAAGAAGCCUUCCGUUGGACACUAGCCGAUAUUCGACUUUAUGUACUCACAAGAUAGCCUUAGAACCAGAUUCAGUCCCCAAAAGAGACCCCUAACGCCGAUUGAAUCCGCCAAUGAUGGAGGUAGUUAAGACUGAAAUUUUAAAAUGGUUGGAAGCCGAUGUCAAUUAUCCUAUAGCCGAUUCAAAGUGGGUAAGUCCAAUUCAUGUUGUACCUAAGAAGGGAGGAACCACAAUAGUUACCCACGCAGAAGGAUUAGAGAUUCCCAUAAGAGUGCAGAACGGUUGGCGGGUUUGUAUAGACUAUAGGAAACUGAACAAAGCCACUAAAAAAGACCACUACCCCUCCCAUUCAUGGAUCAAAUGUUAGAAAGGUUAACUGGUCGCUCACAUUUUUGUUUUUUAGAUGGUUAUUCAGGUUAUUUACAGGUACCCAUCGCACUUGAGGAUCAAGAGAAGACCACCUUCACUUGCCCGUUUGGAACUUACGCCUUCAAGAGAAUGCCUUUCGGAUUGUGCAACGCACCAGCCACUUUUCAAAGUGGUAUAACGAGCAUAUUUUUAGAUUUUAUUUCACAUUUAAUGGAGGUGUUCAUAGAUGACUUUACUGUUUAUGGUGAUUCAUUUGAUCAAUGUUUGUAUCAUCUUACGUUAGUUCUUAGGCGUUGCAUUGAGACUAAUCUGAUAUUGAAUUUUGAGAAAUGCCAUCUCAUGGUUAAGAAGGGUGUAGUGUUGGGGCAUGUUGUCUCGGCUAAAGGAUUAGAAGUCGACCAAGCCAAAUUCGAGGUAAUUAAAAAUCUACCGUAUCCAAGUACUGUGAAAGGAAUUCGAUCCUUUUUGGGACAUGUAGGUUUUUACCAUCAGUUCAUCAAGAAUUUUUCGCAAAUAUCGUCAUCUUUGUGUGCAUUGCUAGGUAAGGAUGUCGCAUUUGAAUUUAAUGAGCGUUGAAAAAAAUCUUUUGAUGAAUUGAAAUUGAAAUUGAUCACGGCUCCUAUCAUUCAAGGACCGAAUUAUGCAUUACCCUUCGAGAUUUUUUGUGAUGCUAGUGAUAAGGCUGUUGGUGCGGCACUUGGGCAAAUAAAUGGUAGGGAGUCUUAUAUUAUUAGGUUUGCUAGCGAGCUAUUAAACCCAGCUCAGUGCAAUUACACCACGACCGAGAAAGAACUCUAUGCCAUAGUCUUUGCCUUAGAGAAAUUCAGAGCGUACUUGUUAGGAGUCAAAGUUGUUGUAUUUUCUGACCAUAGUGCUCUUAAAUAUUUGUUGCAUAAAAAAGAAGCUAAGCCCAGAUUAAUAAGAUGGAUUUUACUUUUGCAAGAAUCCGACUUAGAGGUUAAGGAUAAGAAGGGUAGAGAAAACCUUGUGGCUGACCAUUUAAGUAGGAUAGAGACUGGGAUAUUGAGGAAUGAGCCGAGUGAUUUAUUUCCCGAUGAGCGACUUUAUAGUGCGUCUAGUGUUUUGCCAUGGUAUGCCGACAUAGUGAACUACUUAGUAACUAAAGAGUUCCCCACAAAUGCUCCUAGGCACUUGAGAGAAAAAAUUAGGAGUCAAGCCCAAUAUUAUUUAUGGGAAGAGCCAUACCUUUGGCGAUUUUGUAGUGACCAAAUUAUUAGGCGUUGUGUCGAUGAUAGUGAGAUAGAUUCGGUGCUUAAUUUUUUUCAUUCUCGAGAGGGUGGGGGACAUUUUGGGCCUAAGAGAACAGCUCAUAAAAUACUUGAGUGUGGGUUAUUUUGGCCGACUAUUCAUAAAGAUUCAUAUGCAUUUUGUAAAAAUUGCGCAUCAUGUCAAAAAACCGGUAAUUUAAGUAGCAGAAAUCAAAUGCCAUUACAUAAUUUUUAUGUUUGUGAUAUAUUUGAUGUAUGAGGUAUUGAUUUUAUGAGCCCUUUUCCUUCUUCUUUCGGUUAUCUAUACAUUCUUGUGUGUGUUGAUUACUUGUCGAAAUGGGUAGAAGCAUUUCCAACUAGGGCCGAUGAUGCUAAAACUGUGGUGAAAUGUCUUAAGACCAACAUCUUAAAUAGAUAUGGAGUACCUAGGGCUAUAAUUAGUGACAAGGGAACACAUUUCUGUAAUAAAACCUUGAAAGCUUUAUUUGCACAAUUUGGUGUCACCCACAAAGUGUCAACAGCUUAUCACCCUCAAACCAAUGGGCAAGCCGAGAGUAGUAACAAGGAAAUUAAGGGAAUUUUAGAGAAAAUUGUGAAACCUAAUAGAAAAGAUUGGAGCCAACGGUUAGAUGAAGCAUUGUGGGCUGUUCGAACAGCUUACAAAACGCCAAUAGGGAUGUCGCUUUAUAGGGUUGUUUUUGGAAAGGUGUGUCAUCUUCCCGUAGAGCUUGAACAUAGGUCAUUUUGGGUUGUUAGGCAAUGCAAUUUGGAUUAUAGUUUGGUAGGUGAAGAGCGCAAGUUGAAGCUGCAAUAAUUGGAGGAGUUGCGCUUGGAGGCCUAUGACAAUUCAGUCAUGUCGAAGGCAUUUCGUGACUCGAAGCUGCUUCGGAAAGAAUUCAAGGUAGGGGAAAAGGUAUUAUUAUUUAAUUCUAAGCUUAAAUUGUUUCCUGGUAAGUUAAAAUCAAGAUGGCUUGGACCGUUUAUAAUAACCGAGGUGCAUCAUCAUGGGGUAGUCGAAAUUCGGAGGCUCAAAACUAAUAAAAUUUUCAAAAUGAAUGGUCAUAGGUUGAAACAUUUUCAUGAAGGGGAGCAAGCAGCUUGGUUGGAGGAGAUCAAUCUUGAGGAUCCAUAAGGAAUUGUGAUGUCGAGCCAACGACUUAAACCAAAGGCACUUGUGGGAGGCAACCCACGUAUUCAGGGAAGUUUUUCUUUUAUCUUUUCCUUUAGUAUUGUUCUUUCCGUUGGUAACUUUAAUUUUCUUUUGCAUUAGGGGAAAUGCAAACAUUAAGUAUGGGGGAGAAUCAAUUCAUUGAUUUUCUAAAAUAUUUCAUGCUUGUUUUGUUUUUAGCAACUUUAUUGAAUAAGUCUUGUUAAAUUUCCUUUAGGAAAAUAUUUAAAUAAAAGAAUGCAGAUGUAUUUCAUGAAUUCAAGUUGAUUGGGGUGGUUGUAUGUCGAUUGAUUGGGUUAAAUUUUGUUUUCAAUUGAUUGAUUUUGGUUAGUUCGAAGAAAAAAAGAGAAAAAAAUUAAUUAAUCUGCUUAAUUGAUCAAUUAUGUGGUCCUUGUGAGGAAUUUUAGCCUAGAGCGUAAGUUGGGACAUCCACGCCAACUUGAGAGGUUAUUAUUCAUUCAUGUGUGAUUAUUGUUAUCGACUAUCAAUUACUCUAGAACUUGCUUUAGAUCUUAUUCAUGUUAGUAAUACAUUUGAUUUCCAUUAAUAUGAUUUAAGAGGCAUUAGGAAUUAAGCCACGAUUACUCAUAAAAGCCGACCUUGACAUUAUUACAAUUAGUUAGCCAAUUUGAAGCCUUAAUAUCUUAAUUUGUUUUUAUGUACCUCUAGAAAUUAAACCAAAGCCUGAAUCAACUCACCUUCUUAGGCUAGUUAAUUCAGUUUGGAAGUUUAUCAUAAUUUCGACAUAUGUUGGCCAAUAUAUGGUGUUUUUUUUAGCUAGAAAUUAAGGGCUGAUUUUCUUGAAAGAAAAAAGGAGAAGAAGAAAAUUAAUAUCAAUAAGUUGCAGCCUUCCUAUGAACGAAGUAUGAAAUGGAUCGGUUGAAUCAAGUGGUAUGGAGAUGAAAACGAUGAAAGUCUGAUUAGUCAUCUGCUUCCAAAGAAAAAAAGAGAAGAGAAAUAAGGGAAUUGAUGACUUCCGAAUGAUUUUACUAGCCUAAGAGAACUAGCUCCACCAUCCAAAUAAAUUCCUCCCGUCCACUGCACAUUACCUUGGCCCCAUUACAACCUUUAUUUUGCCUCGAUUAUAUUUAUGGAAUUUUAUGUGUUAUGUUAUAGGUAAGAUGGACAAGCAAGCCUAUGGUGGUUAAUUACGGUCGAUUUCAAUUUGAGAUCAUUAUACUAGCCUAAACACAAUGAGUGAGGAGUGUUAAUAAUUCUUUCCGGUGAGAAUUGAUCAAAGAAGCAUGAUUAAUUUCCUCUAUAUUUUCCUCUCUUGAAUAAACCAAAAUCUAAAUUGUUGAUUUCAAAAUUCAUCCCAAGCAUGGGCGAUGCAACAACUCUUGAUUAGACUUGAUAUUUUUGAAAUUCUUUUUUAUUUUCUCCGACUUGAUUGCUCAGGGACGAUCAAUAGUUUAAGUAUGAGGGAGUUUGUUAAGUUCAAUUUUUAGCUUAAUUUACUCGACUAAAUUAUUUAAAUUAUUGACUAAUCUUUGAUUAAUUAAAUUUUAAAUCAACCUAAAUUACAUUAAGUAUGUUCCAAGCCGUGAUAAUUUAUUUUCAUUCCAAUUCGGCAAUUUAACGUCAAUCUUAUGCCAUGCGCAGGUUAGGGACAUUAGGACAACCACAUGGGCUCAAUUUAGAAUUAAAUUCGCAUAAAUAAAGCUGCUGGAAGAGGAUGGUCAAAUGCUGGUUUUAAAGAAAUCAAAUUGACAAUGAGACAAAGAAGAAAAUUCGACCCAAUUAGAUGUACAGCAGACCGAAUAUGCGACAAAAUCAGCAGGAGAAUUAUUUUUAAUUCCCCAAAUUUCCUUCUUGCUAGCGGGGGUCGACUCCGAUUGAUUCAAGAAAAUUAAAUUAGCCUUGAAGAGUUCAGUUAAAGUAAAACUCUAGUAGGCUGGAGCUAUUUUUAUGGACGGGUUAGGCUAAGAUCAAGGGGAUAAGAUCAAGUUUUGUUUAGAAUUAUUAGAGGUUAUAUUUUUCCAUAAAAGGAGGAGAAGAAACAGCAGACUGGCAGAAGAUUUUUCAUUAUUUUGUAGGUAUAGUUCGGUCAUUCACUAGAGGAUUUUGUGAGCCAACACGCACCAGUCAAUCAGCUGGAAAACAGUUCAAAGAAUCAGCUAGUCGAGAGGAGAAGGGCUCAGCAAUUGAGAGCAGCUUUCCAUACGAGAUUGGUUCGACAUUUAUGUUGUCUUCAAUUAAUUUUGUUCUGGACUUCUUGCUAUGAGUUGCUGAAUUAUUUCAGCUUAGUUAGGCACUCAUGAAGCUGAGCGCAAGGGAUUCAAAGACAUGAUUUUUCUUUCUAAAUAAGAGUUCGGUAUUCUCUAAUUGUUUGUUUUUAACGUUCAAAGGAAAUUUCUAAAUCAAUUGGAUUGAUCACCAAUUUAAUUUGGGGAUUUGUUUACAGUCAUCUAAGUACAAAUUGAGUAAUUAAAAUUCUUAAUAAACUUAGAAUAUGUGAUGAAUAAUUGGCCAGCAACUAAUUAAAAACAACUAGGGAUUUAAUGGUAGAGACCGCUGGAGGACUCUUUACGAUUGAUGGAAGGUAAAAUCUCUAAGAAUUUUAAAUACACCUUUAAUUGGUCGACAGAGAGAUAAUUAAGGGUAGAAAUUCAGCUAAGAACGUUCUCUGACUGGAUAAAAUUACCAAAGAUAGGAAAUUACUUCGUAAGUGAUUUCUUUAUCCUUGCUGCCGAAUUAAGAUACUGGAAUAAUUGAGUGAUGCAAUUGACUUGUGCUUAGCAGAUUGAGGAUCCCAUAACUAGGACUUCUUUCUCUCUAUUGGAUUAAUUAUUUCAAAGUAAUUUAAAAUUUGAGUUAAAAUUUAUUCAUUAUUUUAGGAAAACGUAGAAGCAAAAACCCCCCAUUUUACUAUCUUGCACGCGUUUACAUUAUCUUAAUUUCAAUUCUUUUCAAAUAGGUUUACACGAGCUUCUUCGUGGGACGAUCCCAUAUUUACUAUAUAUUACCAGUUCAGAUUUGCUUUGUAGAGGAUAAAAUUCGGUGGUCGUAACGACAGCUACCACCCAUCCAACUAUGAUCCAUCGAGCCUCGGUUGGACUGUGGGUGGAAAUUGGCCUCCCGUGCGCUCACAGCCAGCGGUUGGCCUAAAUUCGAGUCCUUGAUGACAUCAUCA
rnacentral:lncRNA from 1 species